rnacentral:lncRNA from 1 species
UUAUUUUGAAGCAGAAAUUAAGUGAGCAGUUUUCUCUAUAAUGCUUCACACCUACAUAUAUAAUCGAACUCCAUUUUGCAUCACAGUCUUUAAUAAUGACUGCUUUCCUGUUAAUAAAUAAGUAAAAUAGGUUCAAGUCUAUAUAUAUUGAUAUAAGAACUAGUCACUUGAAAAGAUAUUACUAGAAGGAAUAGCAGUUUACUACUGAAAAUUCCUGAUCUAUCAGGGCACGUUUGAGGCCAGGUCUACAAGAUUUAAUCAAUGGUGUCUUUUUUAUGAUAACUUGGAUGAAACCUUUAAUUAGCAUUUAGCUGAACGGUGAACAAGACUUGUGGCUAUAUAGUAAAUUAAGAGAGGAGUUUAACUUAAGUGAAACCUUUAAUUUAGCUGAUUUGUCCCUUUUUGUAUGAUAUUCUUUAUUGAAAUGUCUCAAGAUAUUUGGUGUUAUUCGAUUACUAAUUAUAUUCACAUUUACAAGAACUGAAAUAUCAUUUAACCAAACUGCUGGGGUCUCUUUUGGGACAAUUGUUUAGUAUGGACUUGUGAUGGUUUUCCGUAUUCUUAUAGUUGGUUUGAAACUCUAUAUAAAUGAUAGUAUGUCUUUUAACAAGUUGCAUUUGCUAUUAGACAAAGAUGAGAAAGAGAGAGAUGGGGAGAAUUUUGGCACUCAUUUCUUUGUUUCUUCUCUAUGUUGCCCUGGCAGUUCAAGUGUUUUCUUUUUCCUUUGGGCAUUCACUUUGCUCUUCACAUGAUUCCAUUGCACUUCUACAGUUUAAGCAAUCACUUGCCGUGGCGGACUAUCCACUUUUAAAUUAUUAUGACUUCUUUUGCCCAUAUUCUUAUCCUAAGACGACGUCUUGGAAUAGGAGUAGUAUGGAUUGUUGUAGGUGGGAUGGAGUUACCUGUGAUAGAUUCACUGGUCAUGUGAUUGGUUUGGACUUGAGUUGUAGCAAACUUGAAGGAACUAUCCAUCCCAAUAGUAGCCUUUUCCAGCUUCGUCAUCUUCAAACGCUCGAUCUUUCCCUUAACAACUUUUCGUUAUCUCAUAUUCCACGGGGCAUAGGUCAGUUGGUCAGUUUGAUGCAUCUCAACCUUUCUUAUAGUAUGUUCGAAGGAGGGAUUCCAUUAGAAAUCUCACACCUGUCCAAUUUGGUUUCGCUUGAUCUUUCUUAUCUCUUCCAUCUCCAGUUUAGCCAGGAAGGAUUCAACAUGCUCUCUCGAAACUUAACCAAGUUAGAGGUACUUUCUCUUUCUUUAGUAAACAUCUCAUCCAAGAUUCCCAUGA